AACGCACCUUGCGCUCUCUGGUAUUCCGGAGAGCAUGCCUGUUUGAGUGUCAUGAACUCUUCAACCCACCGGUUCCUGGUUGAACUGUGUGGUGCUUGGUUUCUGGACGCUGCUGGUUCCUCGGAACGCUAGCUCGUCUAAAAUUCAUUAGCAUCUCAAUUUCGAAACGUGGAUUGACUCAGCGUAAUAGACUAUUCGCUGAGGACACUGCUUGCGGUGGCCAUGUUAGAUAACGAUUGAUGCUCAUAGCACUCUAUCUAGUCAUUCUUUAUAAGAUUAGACCUCAGAUCAGGCAGGAUUACCCGCUGAACUUAA
rnacentral:misc_RNA from 1 species